CAUGCCCAGCUUUCCUCCUGACAGGACGUUGCUGCUGUAUUUCUCCUCCAUUUUCCUCCGCUUUAAAUCCUCUCACACCGUUUCAGACACAGGAACAUCACUGUUACCUGACUGUGGUAUUUAGCUUUGAGCCCAUUUAUCGUCGCAGACUCGGACAAGCGGGUUUAACUCAAUCACAAUGACCCAGUCACCAGCAGUAAACACCAGCGGUCCUGUUGGCUACAAGCUAACUACACUCGGCUUCAUCUAAUUCCAACUUGACGACCAAAAAAAUCCUUCACUUUCAACAAGAACGCAGAAAACUAUAGUCACAUAAAUUAAGGAAUUUGCGUCUCCAAAAAGUUACGUUAUCACUGUUUUUUCUUCUUUUUUUCAUCAAGAAAAACCGGAGCUGUGAAGCGAAAGGCUACUUCCGGACACGGUUUACAAUCCACGUCAUGCCCAGACACCAUUGGUGUGCAGUUCAUGUUCCAAGGAAAAUGUGGGAAAUCCGGCAUCCCAUGUUGAUCGCAGCAGUAGGAUAAUGUGAAAACCAGGAGGAGCUGAUCCUCAUCCCUGCCUUUUCAAGCAUUUUGAUUCGGAAGCCUCAGUGGGGCCCGCACAGUCCAAGUAACACAGCCUGAUAGUGUCCCUCUGUGUCGUGCUGUUGAGACGCAAUUACCUCAAUUUGCUCCUGCAGGGAGAUGUCGUACAUGGCCCGGUAUUCCUCCACGAUCUUCUUCAGGUCCACCUCCGAGCGGCUCACCAGCACACGGAUGAGAGUCUCCUCACAUGUGCCAUGGCGCUGUGGGAGCAGCGGGAACAGUCGGGAGCUCCAUGUCCAGGGCUUUGGGCAGCGUGACGUCGCUGAUGCAGGCAUAGCUCUGGAAAGCUCAACGAACAACAACAACAACUUAAAAUCAGCUCUGUGUUUAUGUAAAGCUCAAAGAAAUACUCCAGGGUUGAAGUCAGAACAUUGUUUUAAGUAACUUGUUAUUUAUGUUCCAUUCAUGAUUGAGAAAGAAUAAAAGAAAUGCUAAUCUAACUUGGGAAAUUGUA